rnacentral:lncRNA from 1 species
AUGGCUGAUGCAGAUUUGCUGUUUCAUAAGCUUCUUUGCCUUGGCGCUGACUCGUCUUUCCUAGUGUCAGAAGAAGCUGAAAUUCGUCACUGGUUGCUACAACAGAUCGAAGUCUGGUCAGGUUCUCCAUCUGUUAAACCUGCCUCCAUAAUGGAAGAAGAUAGAUUUAUGCCUCUUUUCCCAUUAGUGUUGAGCCAUCCUGUGUGUCUGGAAACCUGGUGUGUAGCCCCUGCAGAGGUGGCACACAGGGAGCCAGUUCUUGGGGGAUCCCGGCGACGCCGGGGUCCCGGGCCCUACACGCCUCAGGUCGGACCCCAAAUUCUCCCCAGGCAGCUGGAGCGCUAGGGCGCCCGGUAGCUGCGGCUAGGGCUCAGCGGGCGAGCGGGGCGGGAAGUCAGUCCCCGAGAUCCUCUGGCCAAAGCGGGCCCCCUCCUUCCUCCCCUCUGCCAGCUACUGGCAGCAAAACCGCAGCCAAGGCUAAGGCUUGAGCCGCCCAGUCUGCCGCUGACAGCGCCGCCCUGCCAGGAGCGCGUCGAGGCCUCCAAGAGAUGCAAUUUAAAAUAAUGCUGAGAUUCCACCUCACCCGAGAAAGAAUGGCUGCUGU